rnacentral:lncRNA from 1 species
GAGCGAGCGGCGGGUGUCCCUGAGAGGCCACCUUUCGACCUUCGAGGGCCAGGAGGAUACGGGGAGGUGGCCGGAGGGAGUUCCCGAACACAGGUCUUCCUGUUCCCGCCGAGCAGGUGUUGGCGGUGCCAGGCCCGGCCUGGCGGGCCCGGGCUGGCAGCCAAAUACCCAGCGUCUGUGCUCGGGACGGGAGUGUUCGUCCAGGACGUGCAGCUCCGGAGCCUGCGCGGGCGACCUUGACCACCUUUGUCGGCUGUUUCCCCCUGAGGGAAGUAUACCUGUCCUGCCAGCCUUGGUCUCUGGCAGGGAAGGUCCUUCCAACAGAGAGGGGUUCGGGAUACAUGCACAGGUUUGUUUUAUAGAUAAAUUGCUUGUCAUGUGGGUUUGUUGUACAAAUUAUUUUGUCACCCAGAUAGUAAGCAUAGUACUUGACAGGUAUUUUUUCUGAUCCUCUCCCUCCUCCCACCCUCUAGCCUCAAGUAGGUCCCAGUGUCUGUUGUUCUCUUCUUUGUGUCCAUGUGUUCUCAAUGUUUAGCUCCCACUUACAAGUCAGAACAUGCAGUAUUUGGUUUUCUCUUCCGCAUUAGUUCACUUAGGAUAAAGGCCUCCAGCUCCAUCCAUGUUGCUACAAAGGACAUGAUCUCUUUCUUUUUUAUGGCUGCAUAGUAGUCCAUGGUGUAUAUGUACCGUAUUUUCUUCAGUCUACUGGUGAUGGGCAUUUAGGUUGAUGCCAUGUCUUUACGAUUGUGAAUAGUGCUGCAGUGAACAUACAUGUACAUAUAUCUUUAUGGUAGAAUGAUUUAUAUUCUUUUGGGUAUAGACCCAAUACUGGGAUUGUUGGGUCGAAUGGUAAUUCUGUUUUAAGUUCUUUGAGAAAUCGCCACACUGCUUUCCGCGGUUACUGAACUAAUUUACAUUCCCACCAGCAUUGUAUAAGCAUUCCCUUUUCUCCACAACCUCACCAGAAACCAGCAUCUGUUAUUUCUUGACUUUUAUUAAUAGCCAUUCUGACUGGUGUGAGAUGAUAUCUCAUUGUAGUUUUGAUUUGGGUUUCUCUAGUGAUUAGUGAUGUUGAGUAUUUUAUAUGCUUGUUGGCCAUGUAGCUUCUUUUGGCUAGGGACCUGUGAGUCUCCCUAGGUUUCUUGCACUUACUAAGCCUUCAACAAAUGGUAGAAGAGUCAAUUCUCUUGGUGUUUCAGAAGAAAACAAUAUCACAGCCCCUCUCCACUGGAUAAUACUAUAAAUCUUAAAAUGAAUUUUCAUUCAGAGUAAUAAACACAAGCCAAAGAACUUUGUAUAACAUCCGUCAACUUUUUGUGUUAUCUAUUUCUUUUCCAAAACAUUGCCUCUGGUUUUAAAGGUAACUGCCCACAGUGUUUCACUAAUAACAUUUUAAGCAUUACAAGUUCAACACUGAAGGUCAAAUGACAACGAACUUUCAGUGCUUCCAAAAGCAGGGGCAGAGGGCAACUGCUGAGGGGGGCAUUGUAUAGCCUAACCUUCCCAGAAUUUGAUUUAAAAGUAUGAUCUUCACAGCGUUGGCCAGCAAUAUCAUGGUCACUCCCUACGUCAUUCCCUGGGAGAAAAACAACCCUAGGUUACCUAAACAAUGUUGGCGAAGACCAAAUAUUUAUUAACAUCCUAAGCCGCCCCAUAAUCAAGCCAAUGCUGAUAGGGACAAAGAAGGUGCCAUGUGCAGUUUUUCUCCAUGUCCCCACAAUAUCUGCUCUGAAUUUUAAAAGGCAAUUACUGGGGGAGAAGGAAGCCUAUAUAUUAUGUAGGAUCCAAGUCUCAAACUGCUUUCCUAGGGAGUGUGAGGUUCUUGGAGAUUAAGUGCAGUACCUUUCUGUCUUGAGCCUUGUAGGCUGCCCCUCUAAUUUAAUGCCAGUCUUGAAAUAAACAGAAUGCUUUCCAAGUCAUCGCUAAUUUUAACACUUUAAAUUUAGAAUUGCUUAGAAUUGACUCAACACUGCCUCCUUGCUGAAUGGAUAAUUCAAGCAAACAACUCAAGAGCUGGAUGCUGCCCAGACAGGUAGGCAGCCAGAUAAAGUGAGUGUCCAGGGAAAGAGCAGUAAGGGUCAGAAGAGAAAGAGCCUGGUGUUCUCACUGCCUCCUGCCUUCCUUAUGACUGUCUGUUCAGAAGUCCUCCUAGCAUCUUUCUUCUGCCUUCCCCUGCUCCUGUCCCUGAAACCUUUUCUUCAAAAGAAGUGGAAAAGAGGAACUGGGAACCCAUAUAGCAACAGCAUCACCUGGAAUGAAUUCCUUUAGAACAUACUGUCUUGGAAAUCUGAAGCCUGCAGGGCUGGACAGGCAAGAAGAGCAGUGAGCACUGCAUGAACCUUUCUCUCCUUCCCUCCCUUACGUAUGACUCCUCCCAUAAUCCGCACACAUGGAUUGAACCAAGUGAGGGUAUUUUUCUGUUUCCUACCUCAUAGAAGGGCAUAGAGUGGACACGGUCUAAGGCAUGUACUCCGAAAUAUUUUUCAAAUGGAAAAGAAAACAGAGAACACAAUUUUCAAAAUAUCUAGAGCCCUCCAAGAAGUCUUUGUAGAGAUCUAUAAAAUCUCAAGGCAAUUUAAAGAGUCUUGCUGUGUCGCCCAAGCUGGAGUUCAGUGGCACCAUCCUGGCUCACUGCAACUGCUGCCUCCCAGGUUCAAGUGAUUCUCCUGCCUCAGCCUCCCGAGUAGCUGGGAUUACAUGUGCCUGCCACCACGCCUGGCAAGUUUUUGUAUUUUUAGUAGAAAUGGUGUUUUACCAUGUUGGCCAAGACUGGCCUAGAACUCCAGACCUCAAGUGAUCCACCCGCCUCAGCAGCCCAAAGUGGUGGGAUUACAGGCAUGAGCAACUGUGCCUGGCCUAGCCAUUUUCUAUAAACCUGAAAAUAGAUGCCAGAAAAGAAGGUGCCGCUAUAAAAUGCUUUCUUGAGUGAUUUAUGUCUAACAUACAAUUAAACAUUUAUGAGAAGGAAAUUAUCAGGUUAAAAUAUAAACUCACUUGCCAAUUAUUUGAUUUUCAGGAUAUCUGACUUUUGUUAAUUACUGAAAAUAAAGUAUUAUUUCUAAUCAC